AUGAAAGUGGUUGUUAAUCAAAACAAUUUUCAUAUUUUAUCUCUCCACAGGCAGGGGUCAGUCAUCGGCUGGAUUGCCCAGGGAUUGGCCAGUGUGGUUCCACAGCCUGAAUUGAAAAACAUGGAGGAGGUGGAGCCUGCAGAGACAACAGAGAUUGCAGAGGUGAUCAAGGUGCCGGAGGUUAAGAAAAAACCUAGCAUUGCAGAGGUGAGCAAGGCGCCGGAGGUUAAGAAAAAACCUAGCAUUGCAGAGGUGAGCAAUGCGCCGGAGGUUAAGAAAACACCUACCGUGCAUGCUAUCCAAGAUGUCCCAGAUGCAGAGCCUCUUCCUCAUAUUCCUGUGGUGGAGGUUAUGUCAGAUGAAGAGCCUCAAGAAGAGAAGGGAAUCCCACCCAGGGUGUAUGAGUGGAUCAAACAGGGUUUUGAGAGGUGGUUCCACAGCCAGCUGACAACAAAGACGUCUCACGCGAAGGCCGCUGCCCACAGAAAGGUUAUCUUCUAACACGCCGAGAUCCUCAUAUUUAUUAUAGGGAU
rnacentral:lncRNA from 1 species